AAUGGGUGUUAGUGCAAUUUUCAUACAACCAUAGGGAUCAUUUCUUCAAUUUACUCUAAAAAAAACAUCGUAUAUCAAUUUUAUGGUUAAUGUUUUUCUCGUAUUUACGGGUGGGAGUGUAUUUAUAGAGGGAGGAGGAUCUUGAAUUUUGGUUAUCGCUUUUUUACAAAAGAACGAAAACUCCAAACACCAAACAAUAUUCCCUUCGCUAGGUUUUGGUUGAAAAGCAUCGAAGACAAUGGCCGGAGCCUCAAACUUAACCAAGCUCAUCAAGCCAACCAAACGCCUUCAAGCCACCGAUAUCCAGGCAGCCGCCGGUUGGGGUGUCGUUGCUCUCACGGGCGCUAUUUGGGUGGUUCAGCCAUUUGAUUGGGUGAGGAAGACAUUCUUUGAGAAACCAGAGCCAGAAAAUUGAAUAGAGGUGUGGGAUCCAUCUCUAAUUCUAAUGGCUCAACUCUUGUUUUUGCCAUUUGUUUCCUUUCUGCUGUUGAGAAAGCUGUAGGCAGAUUUUUUAUUUGAAUAAUGUGAAACUCCAAAUAUGAUUUUGUUAAAAAAAGAUUUACAUUGGUUUUUGUGGUCA